GUUUCCGGCGACGCUUAUAAAUUCUGUUUUUUAUCUGCUCGUGUGAUUGCAAAGAAAAGUCGCCACGGGUUGCCGCAGGAAAAUGGGUGCUCUCUCAAUGCAAUUGUGUGUUUUCCUUUGGGGGUUGUUUCUUGGCGUUUGCGCAAUAGAUGCACCAAAUAUUAUUGUGCUUUUAAGCUACAUUUAUUUCAAUUACAAAAUUAUUUGAUUGAUCACAAGAGAUUUGAGAUGGGGAAUACUGCAGUGAUUUUAAGGCGAGCAAUUAUUUCAUUUUGUGUAUUUUACUGUUGUUCCAAACAAGAUCAUUUAACUUGAAAAAAAUACUUGAAUGACUAAUUUAUAAUAUUAUUACAAGCAGGUAAUUCAAUCUCCAAGUAUUGCAAUCUCCAAGAGAAAGACCAAACUUUGGUCCCUGCGACUAGUCCCACAAAUUCAAACCAGUUUGGAUUCAGAUUUUCAAUUUUUGGGACAAGCCGCUGGGACUUGGUCCUCAGAAGGCCUUGUGUGAGCUGUUCCUCGGACAAGUCCCUGCAAACAGUCCCUUCGUGUAAACUGUUCCAGGAGCUAGUUGCAGGGACUAGUCGCAGGGACUAGUCGCAGG